rnacentral:misc_RNA from 1 species
GUGAAUCAUCGAAUUUUUGAACGCAAAUUGCGCUUCCUAGCAUUCCGGGGAGCAUGCCUGUUUGAGGGUCAGUAUUAAAAAAAAUAUCGGUUUGGUUGCAAAUUGUGACGUUUCCGGAGUUUGGGUUAUCCUAACUUUUUUGGUUAAGAGGCUUAUAAUUGACCUUUUUUGCGCAUUUUUUGACUUCUUUAAAUUUUUUUAUUAUUUGUUUAUAUCUAU